UGCAGGAUACUUUUCCUCCAAUUUUGCCUUGGUUGUUGUUAAGGUGGUUGAUUUGAACUGUCCAUUAUUACCUCUUAGACCAUUGUUCACAACUUCAAUCACUAUAUCGAGAAAAACUUCAUCCUCAUUUUCAGGGCCAUCCGGGCACAACUUAUUGACCACUGGGUGGAGUGUUUAUGUCAGUUCCUAAAACUGAGUGACUGGUGACCAAUUUAUAUUUUCAAGGCAAGCUUCUACCACUACCUAUUGCACCAAUUGCUUACCAACCUUAAUACCUAAUGGGAUUAUACUACUACCGGUCAACAUCCUCGCAUUAUGGGGAUGGCUUGUAUGUCUUCAAAGAAAAAGAGAAAAAAAAGUCUAGAAAAUUGAUUAAGAAGUACUGUGGCCGCUUAAAGAUCACGCUAAAGCUUGACAAGUAGGAGCUGUUCCUGUAAUUAUGGGUUUGACAUUAGAACAGUUAGCUUUUGCUGGUGCUCCAUUGAAUGUGAGAUCAAUAUUAUUUAGCUCCACACCAUCACAAGGUACACCACUGCUGCAAAUUAGAAGUACUCCUUCUGGAGUUGCUGAAGUUCCCUUAAUGUUCUUGAAUGAAACCUUGCUUAUCUUUAUCUUUGAUGGAUUCU